GCCAGCAGCCGCGGUAAUACAGAGGUCCCAAGCGUUGUUCGGAUUCACUGGGCGUAAUGGGUGCGUAGGUGGCCGUGGAAGUUUGGUGUGAAAGCUCGGAGCUCAACUCCGAAAUGGCAUCAAAUACUCUACGGCUGGAGGGUCGGAGGGGAGACUGGAAUUCUCGGUGUAGCAGUGAAAUGCGUAGAUAUCGAGAGGAACACCAGUGGCGAAGGCGAGUCUCUGGACGACACCUGACACUGAGGCACGAAAGCUAGGGGAGCAAACAGGAUUAGAUACCCUGGUAGUCCUAGCUGUAAACGGUGCACGUUUGCUGUAAGAGGAAUCGACCCCUUUUGUGGCGAAGCUAACGCGCUAAACGUGCCGCCUGGGGAGUACGGUCGCAAGAUUAAAACUCAAAGAAAUUGACGGGGGCCUGCACAAGCGGUGGAGUAUGUGGCUUAAUUCGAUGCAACGCGAAGAACCUUACCUGGCCUUGACAUGCACGUGGUAGAAGCCUGAAAGGGUAACGAUCCCGCAAGGGAAGCGUGCACAGGUGCUGCAUGGCUGUCGUCAGCUCGUGUCGUGAGAUGUUGGGUUAAGUCCCGCAACGAGCGCAACCCUUGUGUCCUGUUGCCACCCUAACGAGAGUUGGGAGCACUCUGGACAGACCGCCUCGCUUAAACGAGGAGGAAGGUGGGGAUGACGUCAAGUCAGGAUGGCCCUUACGGCCAGGGCUGCACACGUACUACAAUGCCCGGUACAAAGGGACGCAAGACCGACAGGUGGAGCAAAUCCCAGAAAACCGGGCUCAGUUCAGAUUGUCGGCUGCAACUCGCCGACAUGAAGCUGGAAUCGCUAGUAAUGGCGCAUCAGCUACGGCGCCGUGAAUACGUUCCCAGGCCUUGUACACACCGCCCGUCACAUCAUGAAAGCCGGUUGUACCCGAAGUCACC
rnacentral:rRNA from 1 species